UACAAGAAUUUCUUAUGGAGGACUAUCUUUUAAUUAAUAAACAAGUCUCUCUAAUUAGAUAUAAGAAGCCGCCAUAUUAUUUAAUUUUAAUGAUUCGAUAUUUAAUUAUUUAAUAUUUUCUCUUAAUUUUUAUAGUAAUGUAUCUAAUC